UACGGAGGGUGCAAGCGUUGUCCGGAAUCACUGGGCGUAAAGGGCGCGUAGGCGGCUCAUGAAGCUGUGGUGAAAGUCCGGGGCUCAACCUCGGAUCGGCCGUGGCGACUCGUGGGCUGGAGCACUGUAGAGGCGGGUGGAAUUCCGGGUGUAGCGGUGGAAUGCGUAGAGAUCCGGAAGAACACCAGUGGCGAAGGCGACUCUUGGUCUGUAACUGACGCUGAGGCGCGAAAGCGUGGGGAGCGAACAGG
rnacentral:rRNA from 1 species